rnacentral:lncRNA from 1 species
UUUUUCCAUCUUUCCUCAUAAUUAGUACAUCGCCAAUACCUUUAGCAGCCAUGGUAUUGUCAUUUUUGAAUUUCACCUUGUUCUUCAUCGAGGGACUCAUGUUGACAAACUAGUCUUUUCUUCUAGUCAUGUGUAAUGAGCAGCCUGAGUUCAAGUACCAUUGGUCCUUGAAUAUUUCUUCAUCUUUCAUCGUGACCAUCAAC